rnacentral:misc_RNA from 1 species
UGAGUUGAUACUUAGAAGAUGGCCAUCUUGGGGUUCCCUCGGGAAAAUCAUAGUGUGAAACCAUGUGGAACAUUUUCGACUUGUGGUGGCUGCUGCUGGUUGGUAUUGAUGAGGAUGUGACAUUGGUGAUAUCAGGUACUCCACAUCUUGGGAUCAUCAUAUUCUUGAUUGUAGCAGAAUCAAGAUACCCAGUGACCUGUAGCUGAUAAAAUUUUUGGUAAGUUUUGAGUGCAGACUCCAAAAGGUCAUCGAAAUCGUCAGUUAGAUUAUUGGUAUCAUCACUUGGGUAGUAUCCAAAUUUCCU